rnacentral:lncRNA from 1 species
AAAGCCUGAUGGCCAGAAGGAACAGGGGAACAGUACAUGGCACAAAGCAGGUUGCAGAUAUCUUAACUAGGAGUGCUCCCAUGACGACAUAAUCAAGAUUAUACAUGUCAAGAUUUCAAGGAACAGAACUGGCAAACAUUUAAGGCUAAAAAUGUCACACAGAAAAAAUACGUUUUACUGAAUAUCCUGGUCAGGUGAGGCCACCAGUUUUGCUCUGAAGAUAGGGAAAGCCACAGGCAGUGGAAUCUGUUCAAGUGCCACUGUAAGCAGGUCUGUUGGAUGGGCCAUGCAGCUUCCCUCGUGC